rnacentral:rRNA from 1 species
UACGAAGGGGGCUAGCGUUGUUCGGAAUUACUGGGCGUAAAGCGCACGUAGGCGGGUCGUUAAGUCAGGGGUGAAAUCCCAGAGCUCAACUCUGGAACUGCCUUUGAUACUGGCGACCUAGAGUCCGGAAGAGGUUAGUGGAAUUCCCAGUGUAGAGGUGAAAUUCGUAGAUAUUGGGAAGAACACCAGUGGCGAAGGCGGCUAACUGGUCCGGUACUGACGCUGAGGUGCGAAAGCGUGGGGAGCAAACAGGG